UAAACAAACAUAGGAGGCGUAAAAAAAUGUAAUAUAGAGAUCCAUUUUUUUAGUUUGUUCUUCUUUUUUCUUUUUUCUUUUUUUCUUUUUCUCUUUUUCUCUUUUUU
rnacentral:ribozyme from 1 species